rnacentral:lncRNA from 1 species
UACUAUCUUUUCUGAACAAAUGCACAUGUAUUUUCAUAUUGAGUUUGUGCAACAAUUAAGGCAAGGAACACAUGCAUACUAUGACUGAUCAGAGACCUAUUAUUAUAUCCCCACACGUGUACUUAAUGACAAUAGGAAGCCCUCAGGAGUUCAUAUUUGUUAACUGCAUUUUUGUUAGCCUUAUCCGUAAAAGAAGUAUGAGUAUCCUUGUUCGUACCAUAAGGUUC